rnacentral:lncRNA from 1 species
CAGAUAUGUUAGGAGUUUAUUAAUGAGAAGAGGUUGAGAAAAGUGUGAAUCAAGUUCCUAUAAUGAUGAAUAUAAAUGUAAUUAAAAUCCUUGAGAAGUUAUACAUUUGUGUAUUGACAAGACCAUUCACUAUUUCUGGUUCAAAUGAAAUAGAAAAACUAGAGGACCUGUUUAUAUGUAGGUAUCUGCACCUUAGAGUGUUGGGCCACGUCUUCAAUUGUGAUGCAAUAGUUUUUAGUGCCUGUUAAUGCAGUGUUUGUAACAAAAAUGAUUGUGAUAAUUCAUCAUUUUGUAAAUGGCCCUUUUGCUUUUAUUAGACUCUUAAUUCUUCUCAAGUAUCUAGCUAUUGUCCAAAAUGAAUUCUUAUUACUGUAAUUUUGG